rnacentral:rRNA from 1 species
CCUACGGGUGGCAGCAGUGGGGAAUAUUGCACAAUGGGCGCAAGCCUGAUGCAGCCAUGCCGCGUGUGUGAAGAAGGCCUUCGGGUUGUAAAGCACUUUCAGCGGGGAGGAAGGCGUUAAGGUUAAUACCUUGGCGAUUGACGUUACCCGCAGAAGAAGCACCGGCUAACUCCGUGCCAGCAGCCGCGGUAAUACGGAGGGUGCAAGCGUUAAUCGGAAUUACUGGGCGUAAAGCGCACGCAGGCGGUCUGUCAAGUCGGAUGUGAAAUCCCCGGGCUCAACCUGGGAACUGCAUUCGAAACUGGCAGGCUAGAGUCUUGUAGAGGGGGGUAGAAUUCCAGGUGUAGCGGUGAAAUGCGUAGAGAUCUGGAGGAAUACCGGUGGCGAAGGCGGCCCCCUGGACAAAGACUGACGCUCAGGUGCGAAAGCGUGGGGAGCAAACAGGAUUAGAUACCCCGGUAGUC